CUGGACUGGCGGCGUGCUAUACAUGCAAGUCGAGCGGACAGAUGGGAGCUUGCUCCCUGAUGUUAGCGGCGGACGGGUGAGUAACACGUGGGUAACCUGCCUGUAAGACUGGGAUAACUCCGGGAAACCGGGGCUAAUACCGGAUGGUUGUUUGAACCGCAUGGUUCAAACAUAAAAGGUGGCUUCGGCUACCACUUACAGAUGGACCCGCGGCGCAUUAGCUAGUUGGUGAGGUAACGGCUCACCAAGGCAACGAUGCGUAGCCGACCUGAGAGGGUGAUCGGCCACACUGGGACUGAGACACGGCCCAGACUCCUACGGGAGGCAGCAGUAGGGAAUCUUCCGCAAUGGACGAAAGUCUGACGGAGCAACGCCGCGUGAGUGAUGAAGGUUUUCGGAUCGUAAAGCUCUGUUGUUAGGGAAGAACAAGUACCGUUCGAAUAGGGCGGUACCUUGACGGUACCUAACCAGAAAGCCACGGCUAACUACGUGCCAGCAGCCGCGGUAAUACGUAGGUGGCAAGCGUUGUCCGGAAUUAUUGGGCGUAAAGGGCUCGCAGGCGGUUUCUUAAGUCUGAUGUGAAAGCCCCCGGCUCAACCGGGGAGGGUCAUUGGAAACUGGGGAACUUGAGUGCAGAAGAGGAGAGUGGAAUUCCACGUGUAGCGGUGAAAUGCGUAGAGAUGUGGAGGAACACCAGUGGCGAAGGCGACUCUCUGGUCUGUAACUGACGCUGAGGAGCGAAAGCGU
rnacentral:rRNA from 1 species